rnacentral:lncRNA from 1 species
GUAGAUUUUGUGCCAAAUUCUCAUCUCAGACUGUAAGCUGUCACAUGAACUUGACAACCAGCAGUCUAGCUCAGAGAGCAGUGAAUUGCCAAUUAUAUCAUGUAACUUCUGGAACAUGGGUGAUAGGUUGAAGAGUUGAACUUCCAGUCAAAUUUUGUGCAAAAAAGGAUCAGAUGGAAAACUCUAUGGAAAUGGAACCAACAAGUUGCGUUGCUAUCACGUCUGGUGAGGCCGGUUAGAAGUUAAGGUCUAGAAGUUGCUGAGUUUCUGACAUUUUUUGUGGUGAGAAAUCUUUUUGCUAACAUUAUUGAAAAUGGAAUGGUCUAUUGUGCUUAUACGGCCAGAACGUGGAGUUGGGUCAUGCCUAAAGUAAGAAUGUCAUCUGAUUGGAGCUCUUAUGAUGUGGCUGUGAGCCUAUGACAGAAUCCAAAGUUGGACCUAGGAAAUUUCAAAGAUUCUGAUACUGUUGCUGACUGAAGACAACUCAAGUCCAGGCUUCAAACCUCAACCACGUUUGCAGGGGAGACAGAUACUGCACAUAUGCUAGGAGUUACCAGUCGAAGCACUGCAGCUCAGAGACCACUAAAUCACCAAUUAUACCAUGCAAAUUCUGGAACGUUGGUAAUUGGUUGAAGAAUUGAACUUUCAGUCAAAUUUUGUGCAAAAAA